rnacentral:tRNA from 1 species
AAAAUCCGUUGGCUUUAUUGACCGUGAGGGUUCAAGUCCCUCUACCCCCAAGACU